rnacentral:lncRNA from 1 species
GUCUGUUAGUUUCUUUAGCUCAAAUUAGACUGAGAAUAAUGAUGUGAACGAGAACAAGGAUCACGAGCAAGAAAACGAACAAAACACAUUGUUUCCUAACAGAAGUACAAGAUGGGACAAAGGCCGACAAAGGUGUGUUAUCAACUCUUUCCAGAAUUUCCAGCACUAUAUUGUAGCAUAUUGCAGCAGCUAUAUAAACUGAUCCUAUAACCUGUACACUGAUUCUAUAACCUGCAGACACAAGAUCCUAGCAGGAAAGCUGGAGCCACAACUACACACACAAAUGAGCAACCAAAUCAGGAAAAGACAAAUGAGAUAGGGUCUUGUUAAUUAUGACCUUGAUAACAAAUAAUAAUAUUUGAACAGAUUGAAUAAAUUGGCCCAUCGGGAGGAUAAAAUAAUUUGGUUAUCUGGAAGCUUUUGAUUAAGUUGAUCUAAUUAUACUCCUUUUGUAAUGAAGUAAAAGAUCUGAUUAUACUUGUUGCUCUAAACAAAUCAAGGAGUUCAAUGAUGUUAACAAUAAGUGCAGG